rnacentral:tRNA from 2 species
GCCAGCGUAGCUCAGCGGCAGAGCAGCUGUUUUGUAAACAGCAGGUCGUCGGUUCAAAUCCGACCGCUGGCUUCA